UACGGAGGGUGCGAGCGUUGUCCGGAAUCACUGGGCGUAAAGGGCGCGUAGGUGGCUCGUGAAGCGUGCGGUGAAAGUCCGAGGCUCAACCUCGGAUCGGCCGUGCGGACUCGCGGGCUCGAGCGUUGUAGAGGCGGGUGGAAUUCCGGGUGUAGCGGUGGAAUGCGUAGAGAUCGGAAAGAACACCAACGGCGAAAGCACUCUGCUGGGCCGACACUGACACUGAGAGACGAAAGCUAGGGGAGCAAAUGGG
rnacentral:rRNA from 1 species